GAUGAACGCUGGCGGCGUGCUUAACACAUGCAAGUCGAACGGAAAGGCUCCUGCUUGCAGGGGUACUCGAGUGGCGAACGGGUGAGUAACACGUGGGUGAUCUGCCCUGCACUUCGGGAUAAGCCUGGGAAACUGGGUCUAAUACCGGAUAGGACCACAUCUUGGAUGGUGUGGUGGAAAGUUUUUCGGUGUGGGAUGAGCUCCCGGCCUAUCAGCUUGUUGGUGGGGUAAUGGCCUACCAAGGCGUCGACGGGUAGCCGGCCUGAGAGGGUGUACGGCCACAUUGGGACUGAGAUACGGCCCAGACUCCUACGGGAGGCAGCAGUGGGGAAUAUUGCACAAUGGGCGCAAGCCUGAUGCAGCGACGCCGCGUGGGGGAUGACGGCCUUCGGGUUGUAAACUCCUUUCGCUAGGGACGAAGCGCAAGUGACGGUACCUGGAGAAGAAGCACCGGCUAACUACGUG
rnacentral:rRNA from 1 species